GAUGAACGCUGGCGGCGUGCCUAAUACAUGCAAGUCGAGCGAACAGACGAGGAGCUUGCUCCUCUGACGUUAGCGGCGGACGGGUGAGUAACACGUGGAUAACCUACCUAUAAGACUGGGAUAACUUCGGGAAACCGGAGCUAAUACCGGAUAAUAUAUUGAACCGCAUGGUUCAAUAGUGAAAGACGGUUUUGCUGUCACUUAUAGAUGGAUCCGCGCCGCAUUAGCUAGUUGGUAAGGUAACGGCUUACCAAGGCGACGAUGCGUAGCCGACCUGAGGGGGGAAUCGGCCACACGGAAACUGAGACCCGGUCCAGACCCUUAGGGGAGGCAGCAGUAGGGAAUCUUCCGCAAUGGGCGAAAGCCUGACGGAGCAACGCCGCGGGAGUGAUGAAGGUCUUCGGAUCGUAAAACUCUGUUAUUAGGGAAGAACAAAUGUGUAAGUAACUAUGCACGUCUUGACGGUACCUAAUCAGAAAGCCACGGCUAACUACGU
rnacentral:rRNA from 1 species